rnacentral:rRNA from 11 species
AUCUUUGGAUAUGGAGGGCCAAAGGUACUAAAUCCCACUUCAUCUUGGAAGCUAAGCAGGGUUGGCCCUGUUUAGUGUUUGGAUGGGAGUCCGUCAGGAAAUAUCAGGUGCUGUAGGCU